GACAGAGGGUGCAAACGUUGCUCGGAAUUACUGGGCGUAAAGCGCGUGUAGGCGGGCCAUCAAGUCGGACGUGAAAUCCCUGAGCUCAACUCAGGAACUGCAUCCGAAACUGGUGGCCUGGAGUGGUGGAGAGGGAAGCAGAAUUCCUGGUGUAGAGGUGAAAUUCGUAGAUAUCAGGAGGAACACCGGUGGCGAAGGCGGCUUCCUGGACACUUACUG
rnacentral:rRNA from 1 species